GAAGCUCGGCGCCACGCCAGGCGCUCGCCCCGACCCGCCUUCCUCCGCCGCCUCGCCGCAUCUGCCGGCCUCACCGGAGAUCACCGCCGCCGCGACCAGGUCACGUCGCUGCACCUGCCUUCUCCUCAUCCCUCUCAUUCCUUCCUCCCUCUCACCAUCUCUCUCUCUCCCUCUCAUUGCAGCGGCGCCAUGGCCGCCCCGAGCUUCGCCGGCAGCCGCAUCGCCUGCCUCCGGCCACGACUCUGGCGGGAUCCAGCCGCCCCUGCCCGGAUCCGCAUCCUCCGCUCCGCCGUGCCCCCGAUCCGGCCACCACCAAGCCUCCCGCAUUGAUCCGCCCGUCCACCGGCCUCCCCCUGCUCGAUUCGGUUUGACGAGCGAAGUUAAAUGUCUUGUGGUGUCGAGGACAAUAGUUUUUUUAGCUCCCGCAUGGUGAGUUGAGGAGGUUCUAUUUAGUUUUUGAUCUGUCGUGAGCGAUUCCUGUAUGGAAUUGGUAGAUCUUUGUGAAAAUUCGUACAUAUCUCAGUGCUCUGCGUUCUACUCCUGUAUGGAGUACUUGUUACUGUCGCUUUAGUCCUUUCAUUCUUUGAUCCUUAAAUGUGAGUUGCUGCGGUGAAUUAGCAGCUCAUUGGUGAAUCCAUGAAUCGGCGGUGAUGAAUUAGCAACUUGAUCUUGAACUUCAGGUGAUAUGAUGCGGCUGGUUCCGGGUUCUGUGCUCUUCUGAAGGUGAACACAUGCCAGGAAGGAAAGCUUGUCUGGUCGUGGCGCGGCAUAGGAUGGAUUGAUGGUUGCUUCCUUUCGAACCACACAAACCCCUUCUAGCAUGGUCGAGAUGAUCAAAAUGGAGGAGGGUCUCAGUAUGUGGCUGUUUGUUUCCUUGGUACUGAAAUGCUAUCAAGCAGCUGGCUUCAGUGGCGGAGCUUCCUGUAGACCAACAGACACCACAAGACAUCAUAAUGACCUGCAGGUUAGGGAGGAGGGUCGGGGCAACCACAAAUUCCGUCCUGCACUGCUUCAACACCGGUCUAUUCUAGCAUGAAUCUUCUACCGUAAGGAUUUGAUGCAGCAAGGGCCAUUUGUUUGACAGAAAUAGAGUUGUUACCGCAAGAAGUACAAAUCAAGGACUGAGGAGGGACGAGUGCGGAUUUGAUCUAAGUUGGGUUACUUUCUAUGAAUAGAUGGUGUGAUUGCUUUGUCAUUUCAUUUAAUUAAUAGAAAAUUGAUGAGGCAAUUGGAAGAAUCGAGCAGCAAUUUUACUACAGAUCUGCGCCAUUGAUUUGGUCAUCUCUGUCAGUAGCAAGUUACAUAAGAAAGGGUGGUGGCGUUGCAGAGGCGUGAAUGAAAAAGUUAGUCUGGGAUACAAUUAUAAUUGUGAGUCCCUCAAUUAUAGAGCGGAUCCAGGUGAAAGAUGUAGGUGGUGUGUGGAUUGAACUCUAGAUCGGGAACCUGCAGUACUAGAUGGACGAUAACUAUGCUUACAAUUGUUGAUCGAGAACUGUGAGACUGCAGAUCGAUGUACUUUGUCCGUCUUUCCUUCACCAAAGCAUGCGUUGUGAGAUCAUGAUUACUACCAGGUACAACAUUGCAAUUUAUUUUCCAGAAUGUUCCUUGAACACACUCCCAAGUUACCAACCAUCAGCAAUUAUAGUCUCCUCAAUUCGGAUGCAUAGGAAUGCAACUUUUAUCCGAAUGUGCAACAAAAGCAUGUUGUUUGUAUCUGUUGACCAUUGAAAUCCCAAGACCAAUGCAUGGAGAAGUAGCCUGUGAACCCUAAGUUAUUUAUUGAGAAAUUAAACCACAUAUUUGACUACUUAUUGAUCUCCGAUCUCUAUAAAUUAUCCUUAAUCUGUUUUUUGUGAAGACAGCGGAUGAGAAAGAAACAGUAUCCAGGACCGUGUACUAUACUAACAUUGUAAUUAUGGGUCCAUGCCACCUAUUUCUAUUUUGAAGCUGUUCUUUUAGGAACAGAUGAUUACACAUGAAGUAAUGUUUUCCAUGACUAUGUACUAUACUAACAUUAGAAAUUAUGGGUCCAUGCUAGGUAUUUAUAUUUUGAAGCAAUUCCGUCAGGAACAGAUGAUCACACAAUAUCUUUUGAUAAAUCCUUUUUACCUAGCUUCUGAUUUCUAUUAUCAGAAACAGAUUGUCUGUUCUUACAGGAAACAUGUACAAACAGCCGUUAUUCGUUAUUGUGCUCUUCCAUGUUGCGCCGCUGACAAGAGGAUGGAGGGUUUUAGUCGUCGUCGCGGAGAAGAAGGGUAACCACCAAGCAGGAGAGAGGGAGGAAAGCUAUGCCCGUUCGCUGGAAGCCAGGCAACCCGGCGCCAUCGUCGAGGAGAGCGAGGAGGGGCUAGAUUGCGCCGCCAUAGAGGUGAGCUAUGAGGGGCUGCGGCGUCCUUGCAUAGGAGGGGGGAGAGAAGCCGCCACCACACCACGUGAUUCUACUUGAAACUCCUCGGAGCUUGCACCAGGCUCAAGCGUGAGUCCACUGAUCUUCAUAUUCAGGCUGCAACAUUUUCUGAAUUUUAAGUUUGGCUGAAGAUGCUCUUACUCGUACACUAGAUCAACUGUACAAAUUGCUCUAAAUGUACUGCUUGACUGCUUGUCUUUAUUUUAAUCAUUUUCUUUGGCAGCUCUAAAUUUUUAGUUUGGCUCAUUGUCUUUCUCUGGUGUACAAAUGCUUUCAAUUUUUAGUUUGGCUCGUUGUCUCUUCAGAAAUCUGAAGAAAACUAUACUGUGGAAGGAUGGCAAUAUUAUUUGCUGCUUCUCAUCAAUU